rnacentral:lncRNA from 1 species
GCAUAUCUAGAUUUUGGGGGCAUGUGAACUCCUCAAAGACUAUUUUGGCUUCCACAGCUGACAGUCCAGCCGUUGUUGGCUUCAUGAGCUACUAGUUCAUGGAUUUGGUUGAGUGAUUAACAAAUAACAAUGCCUUAUUUUACUUCUUUGUGUCAGGAAUCUUAAACCCUUGGCUAACCGGACUACUAUCUUGGGAUUGGGACAGAACAGCUGAGCCGGUAAGCCUACA